AAUGUUGUGAAACUGAAAUGGUAUUUGGUUAAACCUCGAUAUUUAAUAAUGAUUUCUCAUGAAAUCUCAUCCCUUAAGUAUUAUUUCUGUUUGCCCAAUUUGUGUAAAUGGUAUGACAGACCUGGUAAAGCACAUUUUAGUCUUGUUUAAUUUAUUAAUCAACGUUUUUUGUAGAGUUUACUGUGUUGACACAUUUUCCGCCAAACCGUAGUUCCAUGUUUAGUGCAAGAGUUGUCGUUCUUUUCACAACAAAGAAGUUAUUUCUGAAAUACGGGAUUUAAUUCCGGGUGUGCUUAUUGAAAUAUUGUUAUUAUGGAAUAAAACUAUUUAUUGUAUAUAAUUAAUGGCCAUGCAUAUUUGUCAGUGUAACGAUCGCGUAUACGAGAUCCGCGAAAUGUAAGUAAUUACGGGAAAUAGUCCGUGAUAAUGACAUCUUGGUUGCGAACGUAAACAACUUGGUAAGUUGAAAUUUAACUGUCCCAGAGAUCGGAUGUGUUUCGUUCUCCUAACCUAUUUAUUUCACGUUUGGCAUUGUGAAUUUAUAUAAGAAGUAAAGUUAAGCUAUUUUAGCAUUUAUUUACACAUCUUCAGGUAUUAAUUGUGUAAAGAGACGGUGAAUUCCGUUACACAUUGUAUUUGACGGUGGCGUUUUUGCCGUGAAACUAUUUUAGCCCAACCCUGGCCUAAGUUUGGAAUUG
rnacentral:lncRNA from 1 species